rnacentral:rRNA from 1 species
UUAAGACCUCAAAUCAGGUGGGACUACCUGC